GUUUUUGCUUCAUCGAAUUUGCUAAUGAAAGUGUUGUUGACAAAAUUGUUAAAGAUAAAUUCCACGAAAUAGCCGGAAGAAGACUUGAAACAAAACGUGCUCUUAGUAAACAGCAGCAGGAGGAGAUGAAAGAUGCUGGCUUACUUGGCAGUCGUUACAGAGGUGGAAAUCCUGCAAUACCUGGUUAUCCUGGUAUGUCUGUACCUCCAUAUCCAUCACCAUAUGCUCAACCUGUCAUUUACAUUCACCCUGAUAGUCUUUCUACUGCUUAUCCAAGUGCUGCUCUUGGUGGUAUAUCAGGUAUGACUGGAGCUUACCCCCAUCUUCAAGGUGGAUACACGCAAUCACCUAUGGAAUCAUUGUAUACACCCUAUGGAGGACGAGAUGUUAGACAUGUUGGUUAUCCUGUGUGGAGAUUUCAUCCGCCACGCCUUUCCAAAGGGUCCUACUCUUAGCGACCUUUUUUUAUAUCAAUCCUUUCCCCCUUUACACUCUAUAAAAAAUAACGUACUUAAUUUCUUCAUAAAAAUGCACUAUAUAGUUAUAUACAACUAUAAAAUGUGGGUUUAUGUAAUAGUUAAUCGCUGUUUAAUAACCCAUUUGUGUGUACUUAAUAUUAAUUUUUUUUUUUUUUUUUCUGUAGAUAAUAUUGUGAGUUGUACAUUUAUAAUCUCCUUUUUUUUAAGUUAUAGGUGUAAAUUUAAUCUAUUUAUUACAUGUCCAAAAAGCUGAAAUCCACAAAAUAUUUCAAUGAUGCUUUUUAUAUAUCGUUACCAAAUAAAAUAUUUUUCUCUGAUGGGUUUCGGUUUUAUGGACCUUUUCUAGCAAAUCUGUAUAUAUGCAACAUAAUGUUUGCAUAGAGAAAUCAACUCCAAAAAAUAUAAAGCUUUAUAACUUUGUAAGAUUUAUGUGUAUAAAGUAUACAUAUAUACGUUGAGAAUUAUUUAAUUGCGACUGUUUUUACAUAAAAUUCCUGUACAUAUGGCUAUUUUUCUACAUGUAUAUUAUACAAAUAAUAAUUUAAAUGGUAAAUUAUUAAUGUGUCAUAAAAGUUAUAAUUUUAAAUAUCCGCUAAAUAUCCCUCAAUUCUACCCUUUUCCCCUAAAAAUAUUCGACGAAUAAUGGACGAUGCAUUACUCGAGUAUUGGCAUAGGAUUGGCUACUUAAGUUCAGUGGGCAACCAGCACGUGGCACUGUACCAUCAGCUUACGCUAAAAGACCUGAACCCUAUCCAAGGAAGUUUUAAAUUUAUAUGGCUUACUUGAUUAGCUAACAUUUUUAUUACAUAAUAACUUCUCGGCGUUUUUUUUUUUUCCUACUUAAAAGAGUUAUAUUCUUUUAAGUAUAGACUUAAACUGCUCAUAAAAGAUGUUUUGUACUUUGAUUAAAAAAAGCUGAGUGCUUUUUAUGCUUUUUUUUUUUUUUG
rnacentral:misc_RNA from 1 species